UACGUAGGGUGCAAGCGUUGUCCGGAAUUAUUGGGCGUAAAGAGCUCGUAGGCGGUUUGUCGCGUCUGCUGUGAAAACCCGAGGCUCAACCUCGGGCCUGCAGUGGGUACGGGCAGACUAGAGUGCGGUAGGGGAGAUUGGAAUUCCGGGUGUAGCGGUGGAAUGCGUAGAGAUCCGGAAGAACACCGGUGGCGAAGGCGGCCCGCUGGGCAGAGACUGACGCUGAGGCGCGACAGCGUGGGGAGCAAACAGG
rnacentral:rRNA from 1 species